GACGAACGCUGGCGGCGUGCCUAAUACAUGCAAGUUGAGCGCUGAAGGUUGGUACUUGUACCAACUGGAUGAGCAGCGCACGGGUGAGUAACGCGUGGGGAAUCUGCCUUUCAGCGGGGGACAACAUUUGGAAACGAAUGCUAAUACCGCAUAAAAACUUUAAACACAAGUUUUAAGUUUGAAAGAUGCAAUUGCAUCACUCAAAGAUGAUCCCGCGUUGUAUUAGCUAGUUUGUGAGAUAAAGGCUCACCAAGGCGAUGAUACAUAGCCGACCUGAGAGGGUGAUCGGCCACAUUGGGACUGAGACACGGCCCAAACUCCUACGGGAGGCAGCAGUAGGGAAUCUUCGGCAAUGGACGAAAGUCUGACCGAGCAACGCCGCGUGAGUGAAGAAGGUUUUCGGAUCGUAAAACUCUGUUGGUAGAGAAGAACGUUGGUGAGAGUGGAAAGCUCAUCAAGUGACGGUAACUACACAGAAAGGGACGGCUAACUACGUG
rnacentral:rRNA from 1 species